CUGCCAAUUCCAUAGGUCACAGG
rnacentral:miRNA from 2 species